GACGAACGCUGGCGGCGUGCCUAAUACAUGCAAGUAGAACGCUGAAGAGAGGAGCUUGCUCUUCUUGGAUGAGUUGCGAACGGGUGAGUAACGCGUAGGUAACCUGCCUUGUAGCGGGGGAUAACUAUUGGAAACGAUAGCUAAUACCGCAUAACAAUGGAUGACCCAUGUCAUUUAUUUGAAAGGGGCAAAUGCUCCACUACAAGAUGGACCUGCGUUGUAUUAGCUAGUAGGUGAGGUAACGGCUCACCUAGGCGACGAUACAUAGCCGACCUGGGAGGGUGAUCGGCCACACUGGGACUGAGACACGGCCCAGACUCCUACGGGAGGCAGCCGUAGGGAAUUCUCGGCAAUGGGGGCAACCCUGACCGAGCCACGCCGCGUGAGUGAAGAAGGUUUUCGGAUCGUAAAGCUCUGUUGUAAGUCAAGAACGAGUGUGAGAGUGGAAAGUUCACACUGUGACGGUAGCUUACCAGAAAGGGACGGCUAACUACGUG
rnacentral:rRNA from 1 species